rnacentral:rRNA from 1 species
UGAAUACGAGAUGCUAAGGCGUCGAAGUAGUGUAUGUCAUGCUUCCAAGAAAAGCUUGCAAUGUCAUAAAUAAAAAGUGCCUGUACCAUAACCGACACAGGUGGGUAAGUAGAGUAUACUAAGGGGCGCGAGAUAACUCUCUCUAAGGAACUCGGCAAAAUAACUCCGUAACUUCGGGAGAAGGAGUGCCUUAUUCUUAAGGUUGCAAUAACAAGAUCCAAGCAACUGUUUAUCAAAAACACAGGUCUCCGCUAAGUCGUAAGACGAUGUAUGGGGGCUGACGCCUGCCCAGUGCCAGAAGGUUAAAGAAGUCGGUUAGCAAUUGCGAAGCUGGUAACUGAAGCCCUGGUGAACGGCGGCCGUAACUAUAACGGUCCUAAGGUAGCGAAAUUCCUUGUCGGGUAAGUUCCGACCCGCACGAAAGGCGUAAUGAUUUGGAUGCUGUCUCGGAGAGGGGCUCGGUGAAAUAGACUUGUCUGUGAAGAUGCGGACUACCUGCACCAGGACAGAAAGACCCUAUGAAGCUUUACUGUAACUUGAAAUUGAAAUUGGACUUUAUUCGCGCAGUAUAGGUGGGAGGCGUUGAUUAUAAUCUUGCGGGAUUAUCGGAGCCAUCAGUGAGAUACCACUCUUCUAAUGUUAGAUUUCUAACUUUGAAUCAUUAUCUGGUCAAAGGACAAUUUCAGGCGGGCAGUUUGACUGGGGCGGUCGCCUCCUAAAUGGUAACGGAGGCGUACAAAGGUUUCCUCUGAACGGUUAGAAAUCGUAUCUAGAGUGUAAAGGCAUAAGGAAGCUUGACUGUGAGACCUACAAGUCGAGCAGGGACGAAAGUCGGUCUUAGUGAUCUGACGGUACUGAGUGGAAAGGCCGUCACUCAACGGAUAAAAGUUACUCUAAGGAUAACAGGCUGAUCUCCCCCAAGAGUUCACAUCGACGGGGAGGUUUGGCACCUCGAUGUCGGCUCAUCGCAUCCUGGGGCGGUAGUACGUCCCAAGGGUUGGGCUGUUCGCCCAUGAAAGCGGUACGCGAGCUGGGUUCAGAACGUCGUGAGACAGUUCGGUCCAUAUCCGGUGUAGGCGUUAGAAUAUUGAGAGGAGCCUUCUUUAGUACGAGAGGACCGAGAAGGACAUACCUCUGGUGUACCAGUUAUCGUGCCAACGGUAGACGCUGGGUAGCUAUGUAUGGAGUGGAUAACCGCUGAAAGCAUCUAAGUGGGAAGCCCACCUCAAGAUAAGUAUUCUC